rnacentral:lncRNA from 1 species
UUGCUUGUUAGUCCAUGUUUGCAUUUACAAUUGUAUGUAGCUGUUUCUCAAUUUGACGUGUGUAUGGAAAACCCUUUUAUCAGGUGGUGUUGUUUUUCACAAAGCCGUGGUACUGCAAAAGAUGGUCUAUCUCAGUAGCCAAUAGUGCAAAGAAGACACCAGAUGUUGUAUUCGUGAAGAUUGAUGCUUAUCAGCUGAAGUUAUGCCACUUUUUAACCUUGCUUGCUUUAACAAUUCCGAUCGGUUUUCUUGAAUUGGAAAUUUGAUUUGGUAAAAAAUAUCAAUAUGUUGUGUAUGCAGGCUGUUGCUGAUAAAUACGUAAUUGAUGAUAUGCCCACGUGCGUGAUUCUGAAAAAAGGGAAGGAAGUGAAUAGGUAUGUAUGUGCUAAGAUGAAUAAACUGCGGAGCAAAAUGGACCAACAUCUCUCUUCUUCUUCCCCGUCUUUGGUAGUUAAUUGAGAUUUGAGAUUGUGAAAUAAAAAACGUGUAUGUUUUAAUCAUUUUUUGGCAAAACAGAAGAAUAAAAGAAAGUUGAGUAGUUUAAAAUAUUAACAAGGGUCAGUGCAAAGGUUCGAUAUGUUUGAAAAAUAAAAUGAGAAGAUAUCUAUGUUGCAUUUCAACGCAUUUCAUCUAUAUAUAUCAUUAGACUAUUCUCUAUUUAUAUUUCGUUUGUUUUGAUAUAUUUUUAUUUUUUUAAAUAUUGUUAAUGGAGUUCAAAAUCUAUUUUGAAGACAAAACUUAAUUACCUGUGCUGGACUAAGUCCAUU